rnacentral:rRNA from 1 species
AUGAUCCCACGACAAGAAGUUCUUGGUCUCAAUCGAGCAGGAGAAGUCUCACAUUCUGGUAUAGAUUUCUCUUACAUACUCAUUGAUAAGUUGGCAUCUCACUGCAAUAUUAAUCAGUUGCUGAAACUAUCAUGGUGGUCGGCAUGGGAUAAAGCGAUGGUGUUGUUGCCCGCGCGGUUGUGGUGUGGGAGCUGCAUCGAUAGUCAUGCGAAUGUUGCUCACCUUUGUGUGAUGUGUGCUGAUGCUGCUCUAUUGCAUGCAAGUUUAGAGCCAUUUAUCUUGCUGCGGGUUGAUGCUGCUCUGCUAUGUGUCUAUGCUGUGUAG